CCAGGUUUAGGUUAUUGAGAAUUAGUUUGGUUCCAGGUUUAGGUUAUUGAGAAUUAGUGUGGUUCCAGGUUUAGGUUAUUGAGAAUUAGUGUGGUUCCAGGUUUAGGUUAUUGAGAAUUAGUGUGGUUCCAGGUUUAGGUUAUUGAGAAUUAGUUUGGUUCCAGGUUUAGGUUAUUGAGAAUUAGUUUGGUUCCAGGUUUAGGUUAUUGAGAAUUAGUGUGGUUCAAGGUUUAGGUUAUUGAGAAUUAGUUUGGUUUAAGGUUUAGGUUAUUGAGAAUUAGUGUGGUUCAAGGUUUAGGUUAUUGAGAAUUAGUGUGGUUCAAGGUUUAGGUUAUUGAGAAUUAGUGUGGUUCAAGGUUUAGGUUAUUGAGAAUUAGUGUGGUUCAAGGUUUAGGUUAUUGAGAAUUAGUUUGGUUCAAGGUUUAGGUUAUUGAGAAUUAGUUUGGUUCCAGGUUUAGGUUAUUGAGAAUUAGUUUGGUUCCAGGUUUAGGUUAUUGAGAAUUAGUUUGGUUCAAGGUUUAGGUUAUUGAGAAUUAGUUUGGUUUAAGGUUCAAGUUAGGCUUCGUUUAGUUUGGUCUAACCCCUAAAGGACGGCUGACGGAAAUACCUGCUCGGGCAGAGAAAGGCGGGG